UUGGUGUUUCCUUGUUUAGCUGUUGUUAUUUUACUUAGGUUAAUGAUGCUCAGUGCAACCAGCUGUCAAGCUAUAUUUGACGUUCAACUAGUCACUUAGCAGGCGUAGUAAAUAGCAGCUGGCUUAAUCCACAUUAUCAAAUUUAAGCACAAAAUUGAACUGUUGUAAUGAACGAGAUGAAGGGGAACCGAGGGGCCCAAUUUUUGUUAGUCCCAACCAUACGAAGCCAGCAGAUUAUGAAGCCAAGGAAAGCAUGAGGGAAAUUAUUUGUUAUUUUAAUUGAAAUGCAAAAAUUAUAAGGUUAAGGGAAAUGAAAGUAGACAAAAAAAAGCUACUUCCACGGGUGUGAGUUGAACUCACAUCCUCCACAUUACAAGUGUGAUGCUGUUACCAUUGAGCUAAGGUAAUGGCUGUUCCCACAUUUACUUUCUUGGGUAUAUAUGUAUGUGUGCAAUACCUGAACCUGGGAGUGUUAGCGCCAUUCACGCCCAUGGUGGUGGAUGUUGCAUGUCUUCCCUGACUGCGGGCAUCAUGUUUUACAUGAACUUUUUAGGAGCAGGCAGCCGGCCAAUAAACAUUUGUAUGCUACGUGAAGGUAUUAAAUCUGUUGGUGUUGCGCGCUCAUGCCACUGCUCGCGCGUUCAUCAUCAUCUUCCACAGUUGUCUCCAUAGUGCAAAAAACUGAAAAUAGCCAAUGGGUGUAUCUCUUUGGCUGGUGAUGUCAGGCACUGCAUAGGCACAUUAUCUCAGUUGCGUUCCGGCCGUGUGACGGGUAGGCCGCGUAUUGUGCGCACCGAGGAAGAACAGCAUGCCUACGGAGAACGAUGGUGCGAGCAGAAGCGGGAAUGGGCACGAAGGCAGCAGGAGGCUGUUAACAUCGAAUCCAUGUUGGUCGACGGUUCUGAUCUCCUGAGCGGGCGGCAUUGCCCUAUACGCUAAGACCGACUGCAGACGAGGUCGUUGCCACGGAGUGUGCCGACGUGUGUGCCGUGCAGACUUGGGACGGAAUCGUUUUCGCAGCAGUCUACGUUCUUCCCGGGGUGUCCAAGGGGGACCUGGAGAACUUUAUGAUUGAUGCCUUUGGUUGGAUCACCUCUACCGACUCCACUCCCAUCGUAAUUGUGGGUGAUUUCAACGUUGACCUGUCUCGGCCAGACGGAAAGUGGUUCUUGGCAUUUCUGUUGGGCAGGUUCGGCAUUCAGUGCUAUACAAACAUUGGAGGGCCUACCACACGUCGUCGGUCCUGCAUAGACGACGUUCGCAAAGAACCUUUCCAGAAUCAUUACAGCACCCAUGGCCGUCUACCAUAUUUUUUUUAAAAGCUUUACUGGGACAUAGUUUGAUGACAGCUAAAAAUAAUCUUUGUAGAAAAUUCUCUUGCAUCUGGUCGCUCAUUUCAAGCUUUUAGAUCCAACUUCUGAGGAAAAAAAAAUGUGGGAACCAAGCCAUAAUGGUAGACAUUUGAAUCUUGCUAUAACAAUGUCACAUUUGAUGUGGACAUACCUUCAGUAUAUUCGAUAUUUGCUAUAAGCAUAUAUUCUGAUAUUGGUUAUAAAAUUUUAAUAUUUAUUUCAUUAUAUCUGUGUUCAUUUUAUUGAAGCUCAACUGCAACUGUGUGACACAAAGUAACUUGCAUCUUGUCCUGUUGGUGUCAUGGAUUGGCACGCUGAGUUAUAUAGAAAAUUUUAUUACCUAAGUGUACCUUGGUACUUGUUCUACAGAAUAGGAUGAACCCGUUUUGUGAAAAAAUGUUAGAAUGUCAAGAUAGUAAGCCUGAACAUGCCAGGCACUUCUAAAAUGGUUUUUUGAUGGCUAAAUCUGGUUGAAAUAGGCUUGUCCAAAAUAAUAAAGGUGUUAAAUGAAGUGAUUGCUAGCUGCCAACAUGUCUUCAGCUGUACAUAUAAAUUAUUAUUGCAUAAAUACAGGUAGAGUUAGAAACAUAUACCUUUAAAAGGUGCGCACUAGGCUCAAGAAAUGACACUAUGCUAUGUAUUUGACUGUAUUAACUACUCUGAGUUGUGACCGAGUUCCACUGGGCCAGCACAGUAUUUUUCCAAGUCUGUGUAAUUUACCUUGACUAUCUAAAGUGACCACAUGGGUUUCAGUGGCUUCUAUGAUAUCACAUUAGAACCAAGAACAUACCUCCCCGGUUGGAAGAUCUCCCGGAUUUAGUUUCUCCGAACUUGGCAGGUAUGCAAGAAGAGCUCACUGUUGGGGAAGCGGAAUUGACGAGUCACCAUUUCUUAACUAUGCAAGGUACACUUGAAUCUUUUAGAGAUUGUAAAGGAAAAUACUAUGUCAAGCUAGAUCAGCAGACUGCAAUUUUAGGAAGUAUCAAGUAAGUCAGUAUUGCCAAGAAAAUAGGUUUGAUAUGCCAGAAAACACUGCAGGGGUGGAACAUGGGAUAGCAUCAGAUUGCUGAAACUGCACUCUGUGAUGUCACACAGUGCAACACAUUGUCACGGCUGGCAGAAGCUUGUGAAAUAAUUCAACUUGGCAGUCGUUGCAGGCUUUUCCUGCAGUAAAUGAUCCCACAUGUGCAAAAAAUUCUCUUCCUUUAUGCACAAGCAAAAUGUACUAAUACAGUAUGUACUGCCAGUGAUCGGUUGCUUGUACAUGUACAGACACAGGACAGCACAGCAGUACAAUGAACAUUAUGAGUAAUAACAAUGAAGUUAUUUAGAAUACAACAUAUUUGUGAGUAAAUGGUGACAAUGAAUACCAGUAAUGUGCACAUCGCGUGAUAGUUUUUCUGGCUCUUGUAAGUCCCCUAUACAGACAUGCUAUGUAGUGAGUGAAUUGUUGCCACCUUAUCUCAUCUGUUGUCUGAGUGUUUAGCAGCAAGUGAGCACACCAUAGUGCGAUGACUAUUCCUAUUUACUCCAGACAGUCAUGCAAUUCACUGUGCUCUAAAUGCACCUUGAAACUCACUUUAAGCAAGUGUAUGCAUUACACAGUAGUCUCUUCAUUUGUGGCACUCUCUGUGCCUGUGCAAAACGAGUUGGCCACUUCACUAAGCACAUCAGGGUUCGUACACUUCCUCGAAAUCCUUGAAAACCUUUGAAUUCGAAAAAAGAGAGUCAAGGGCCCUUAAAAUCCUUGAAAAUAAGUUUGCUCCUUGAAUUCCUUGAAACUGGGGCUGGGGACGACCUUUGAACAUUCAAAGUAACAAGCUCUGCAUUGGGGCUGUGCCAUGAAUACUGUCCUAUCAGGAAAACAUACUAGGUAAUUUUUUUUCAGUGUUGCUAAGUGAUGAUAUGUGGCGUGUCCACAGCCACCGAAUGCACCCAAGUGUUCAAGGCAUUAUCAGCUACGCAAUGUGCAGACGUAAGAAAAGUUACCAACUACAAUUACUUCAUUAAAAAAUGUAAUUGAUUACAGUGACCACUUAUUUCCCUACAAAAUUAAUAGAGCGAUUAGUUUAGUGGGCAAUUGAGAAAUCACUUACUGAAAAAAAGUAAAUGAUUUACAGUGAGUGUUUCCAAGUAAAAAAUAUGUAAUUGGUCAAUUAUAAAACUACAAAAAAUGUAAUUGAUUACAAGUAAUUAAUUACAUGUAAUUUGUGAAGGUGGUUCUUGUGGGCAGUGCCCUUUCUUAAUUAUUAACCUACAGAAGCACAUCGAGGCCCUCCUCAAUUGUUUUUUUCUAUGGUGUCAGCCCUGCAGGUUUCCACAUCAUCGUUGACACUGGCAUAACUGUUUAUGCCCAUAGAAACAGCAUUUGCUUUGCAUGUAGCUAUCAGAUUCGCCUCCUCUAAAUCUGACAAUCCAGAUUUCUUGAUAAGCCAAAUAGCAGGAGUAAAUGAUAGUAGCAGAAGUUCAGUUCAACAAGGUCUCGAAACUUCAGGCCAAGUUUAAUGCUAUAGGGACAGCAGCUGUCACUAGGGGCAUCACUUGCCGAUGAGGAGCUAUGAUUGCCGGUGUCAUCAGCUUGCUUUGGUGGUUUAGAAUAGUUUAGAGGCCUGAUUGCAUUAGGCCAACACCGCGCCAAUUUUGGUCUGCCGACUUCCUGCUAAAGCUCUGUUGUGCUGACGGCCAUGUCGGCAGGUGUGGAGUCGUCAGCAGACAAUUGUGUCAGACGAUAUUGUUGCCACACUGCAACGAUACAAUGGCCCCCCUGUUCCGGUGCGGCCAUCGUAGGAUUUUUGACAAUUGUUUCUACGCGUGCUGCUUGCUUUUUUUGUUUUACUCCUUGUGAGAAAAACAUAUCACAUAUUUGUGGCAAGGAACAGAGCGUGCGCAACUCUCUGUGUUUGAAUACUGAUUUAUCCAAGUGGUGCAUUUGUUCACACCAGUAUGUACGGCCACAGUUGGUUGCUCGCUUCAAGCACCGUGUAAAACACGCAGCGCGGACAUGAAAUAAUGACAAAAUAUUGCAAGACAUACUGAUUUGCGAAUAUGAGCAUCGUCGCAUCACACUAACUGAGACGAGCUACAUGAUACGAGUGACUGGCGGCUUUAGGGGCCCAUUGAGAACAGCGACUGGGAGGCUGGGGGCUGUUAUUGAUAGCUGGUUCCCGUUUUUUUUUUUUUUUGAACAGUUCAUCAUGCACGCAGUGUGCUCAGUGAAGUAUUGUGGAAGGAAACUCUACGGCAUUUAAUCACUCAAUUAGAGAGCACACAGCUUUCUUUAAAAAUGUUGAUGCUUGCUUCAUACUCGCAUAACUGCAUGAGCAAGGUGCACUGCAGUAUUGUGGGUGCUGUCACUUGUUGCCAAUUUGGCAUGAGAGGCUAAGAAAUGUGUUAGCAUAGGAAUACCACAAUUUCCUUUAUAAGCCGUUAACAUUACAUAAGGAACUACCACUAUAUGUUAUCUCAUUUUGUCCAUCAAAGCACGGCGAGUGCAGCCGGCAACCUUCGAUCAACAAUGGCGACGUAUCGAUGUUGGCUCUGCGUUGUGUUGCCACUUCCCACUUGUGUGUGAACCAUACAACACUUCGGGUUGCUAUAUGGUCAGAGCUAAACUACAAAAGCGGUUGAAUUUAUCCUAAUUGCUCAUCUUUUAGUUGAGGUCUGUCAGUAGUGAGUGCACCAACUCAUCUGCUGAGCUAGGCCUAACAUUCGCUGUAACGACAUCGCUACAACAUCUAAGUUGAUUUGAACGACUGGCAACUGAAAAUUGUUCAUGUCAACUUCGGAAGCACGUUUCAACUCACUUUAAGCGCUAAUAAAUAUAGGGCUGUUCCAGCUAACAUUAGCCCAGGUGUUAAAAGAAA